rnacentral:rRNA from 1 species
GACAGAGGAUGCAAGCGUUAUCCGGAAUUACUGGGCGUAAAGCGUGCGCAGGCGGUUUUGUAAGUCUGUUGUGAAAUCCCCGGGCUCAACCUGGGAAUGGCAAUGGAGACUGCAAGGCUAGAGUUUGGCAGAGGGGGGGUAGAAUUCCACGUGUAGCAGUGAAAUGCGUAGAUAUGUGGAGGAACACCGAUGGCGAAGGCAGCCCCCUGGGUCAAAACUGACGCUCAUGCACGAAAGCGUGGGGAGCAAACAGG